rnacentral:rRNA from 1 species
GAUGAACGCUGGCGGCGUGCCUAAUACAUGCAAGUCGAGCGAACGGACGAGAAGCUUGCUUCUCUGAUGUUAGCGGCGGACAGGUGAGUAACACGUGGAUAACCUACCUAUAAGACUGGGAUAACUUCGGGAAACCGGAGCUAAUACCGGAUAAUAUUUUGAACCGCAUGGUUCAAAAGUGAAAGACGGUCUUGCUGUCACUUAUAGAUGGAUCCGCGCUGCAUUAGCUAGUUGGUAAGGUAACGGCUUACCAAGGCAACGAUGCAUAGCCGACCUGAGAGGGUGAUCGGCCACACUGGAACUGAGACACGGUCCAGACUCCUACGGGAGGCAGCAGUAGGGAAUCUUCCGCAAUGGGCGAAAGCCUGACGGAGCAACGCCGCGUGAGUGAUGAAGGUCUUCGGAUCGUAAAACUCUGUUAUUAGGGAAGAACAUAUGUGUAAGUAACUGUGCACAUCUUGACGGUACCUAAUCAGAAAGCCACGGCUAACUACGUGCCAGCAGCCGCGGUAAUACGUAGGUGGCAAGCGUUAUCCGGAAUUAUUGGGCGUAAAGCGCGCGUAGGCGGUUUUUUAAGUCUGAUGUGAAAGCCCACGGCUCAACCGUGGAGGGUCAUUGGAAACUGGAAAACUUGAGUGCAGAAGAGGAAAGUGGAAUUCCAUGUGUAGCGGUGAAAUGCGCAGAGAUAUGGAGGAACACCAGUGGCGAAGGCGACUUUCUGGUCUGUAACUGACGCUGAUGUGCGAAAGCGUGGGGAUCAAACAGGAUUAGAUACCCUGGUAGUCCACGCCGUAAACGAUGAGUGCUAAGUGUUAGGGGGUUUCCGCCCCUUAGUGCUGCAGCUAACGCAUUAAGCACUCCGCCUGGGGAGUACGACCGCAAGGUUGAAACUCAAAGGAAUUGACGGGGACCCGCACAAGCGGUGGAGCAUGUGGUUUAAUUCGAAGCAACGCGAAGAACCUUACCAAAUCUUGACAUCCUUUGACAACUCUAGAGAUAGAGCCUUCCCCUUCGGGGGGGCAAAGUGACAGGUGGUGCAUGGUUGUCGUCAGCUCGUGUCGUGAGAUGUUGGGUUAAGUCCCGCAACGAGCGCAACCCUUAAGCUUAGUUGCCAUCAUUAAGUUGGGCACUCUAAGUUGACUGCCGGUGACAAACCGGAGGAAGGUGGGGAUGACGUCAAAUCAUCAUGCCCCUUAUGAUUUGGGCUACACACGUGCUACAAUGGACAAUACAAAGGGCAGCGAAACCGCGAGGUCAAGCAAAUCCCAUAAAGUUGUUCUCAGUUCGGAUUGUAGUCUGCAACUCGACUACAUGAAGCUGGAAUCGCUAGUAAUCGUAGAUCAGCAUGCUACGGUGAAUACGUUCCCGGGUCU